GGGAUGCAAACCUGAGAUCCUUACAUUUGAACAGGCAAUACAAAUACUAACCCAUUGUACAUUAUUUUUGCACUCCAAAGGAUGAUAGGUGGGUAAACAAAAAUGCUUUAUUCCACAAAAUGAAAAAAACAAAAAGGCUGGCAAAGAGUAUGUAUCCAUGCAAACUGUAUAACAGGGAGGUGGAGGAUGCUUAACCACAUACCAUAGAGGCUGGACACAUCUUGUGUCUUUCCU